rnacentral:rRNA from 1 species
UGGGGAAUUUUGGACAAUGGGCGAAAGCCUGAUCCAGCAAUGCCGCGUGUGUGAAGAAGGCCUUCGGGUUGUAAAGCACUUUUGUCCGGAAAGAAAUGGCUCUGGUUAAUACCUGGGGUCGAUGACGGUACCGGAAGAAUAAGGACCGGCUAACUACGUGCCAGCAGCCGCGGUAAUACGUAGGGUCCAAGCGUUAAUCGGAAUUACUGGGCGUAAAGCGUGCGCAGGCGGUUGUGCAAGACCGAUGUGAAAUCCCCGAGCUUAACUUGGGAAUUGCAUUGGUGACUGCACGGCUAGAGUGUGUCAGAGGGGGGUAGAAUUCCACGUGUAGCAGUGAAAUGCGUAGAGAUGUGGAGGAAUACCGAUGGCGAAGGCAGCCCCCUGGGAUAACACUGACGCUCAUGCACGAAAGCGUGGGGAGCAAACAGGAUUAGAUACCCUGGUAGUCCACGCCCUAAAACGAUGUCAACUAGUUGUUGGGGAUUCAUUUCCUUAGUAACGUAGCUAACGCGUGAAGUUGACCGCCUGGGGAGUACGGUCGC